AGAUGGGUUAUGCCAUAUAACCCUUACCUUCUGCGGAUGUUCAAUUGCCACAUCAACGUUGAGGUUUGCUCCAGCAUAAAGGCCGUCAAAUACCUUUACAAGUACAUAUACAAGGGCCAUGAUAGGGCUUCUUUCAGCAUCGACCAGCCCGAUGCUGAUGGUAACAUUGAUGAGAUCAAAAGAUACGUAGACGCGAGGUGGGUUACUCCUUCAGAGGCGAUGUGGAGGAUAUUUGGCUUCCCCUUGUGUGCCAAUGACCCGUCUGUCCUACAGUUUCCUCUUCAUCACCCGAAUAUGCACAGGGUGGCAUUCAAUGAGCAAGCUCACUUGACCGACGUAGUCGCCUCUGAGAAAGCUUCCAAAUCCAUGUUGACAGAGUAUUUCAAAGCUAACCAAAACCACCCGUGGGCUAGGAAUAUAUUGUACAAGGAUUUUCCUGGA
rnacentral:rRNA from 1 species